CGUUCUUCAGUGUUCUUCCUCAAAGAGAAUAAGGAAUUACAGGGGUGUUCUCUCUUCAAUGUUAGUGUUCUUCCUCAAACAGAAUAUCAAAGCAGAUAAAAAAAUUAGCCCAUAAUUGAACAAAGUGAACAACUGUUUUGGAGGGAGGAGAGAGAAGAAGGCCUAAUUCUAGUACAACAAUUUCACUUACAAUUGCUUUUCACGCAGCCGUUAGAUUAGAUCCAAUGGUAUUCUCAUGUAAUGUUCUCAUAUAGGUGUUCUCACUAGAUAACCGCCCCUAAAAGAAUAUGAUUACUGGUUUUAUCUUUUCCAUUCAAGGCCCUGAAGAAAAUAUUCAUAACAAUAACCCUAAAAUCCUACCCAAAUCAAAACUCUCACGUAAUACCAUCAAUAGAAAACAAACUCUACUCCAAAUCAAAGAAAUCGAACAGUAAAAAAUAAAAAUAAAAACACUUGAUAAUUU
rnacentral:lncRNA from 1 species